CCUAACACAUGCAAGUCGAGCGGUAGCACAGAGAGCUUGCUCUCGGGUGACGAGCGGCGGACGGGUGAGUAAUGUCUGGGAAACUGCCUGAUGGAGGGGGAUAACUACUGGAAACGGUAGCUAAUACCGCAUAACGUCGCAAGACCAAAGUGGGGGACCUUCGGGCCUCAUGCCAUCAGAUGUGCCCAGAUGGGAUUAGCUAGUAGGUGGGGUAACGGCUCACCUAGGCGACGAUCCCUAGCUGGUCUGAGAGGAUGACCAGCCACACUGGAACUGAGACACGGUCCAGACUCCUACGGGAGGCAGCAGUGGGGAAUAUUGCACAAUGGGCGCAAGCCUGAUGCAGCCAUGCCGCGUGUGUGAAGAAGGCCUUCGGGUUGUAAAGCACUUUCAGCGGGGAGGAAGGCGAUAAGGUUAAUAACCUUGUCGAUUGACGUUACCCGCAGAAGAAGCACCGGCUAACUCCGUGCCAGCAGCCGCGGUAAUACGGGAGGUGCAGGCGUUAAUCGGAUUACUUGGGCGUAAAGCGCACGCAGGCGGUCUGUCAAGUCGGAUGUGAAAUCCCCGGGCUCAACCUGGGAACUGCAUUCGAAACUGGCAGGCUAGAGUCUUGUAGAGGGGGGUAGAAUUCCAGGUGUAGCGGUGAAAUGCGUAGAGAUCUGGAGGAAUACCGGUGGCGAAGGCGGCCCCCUGGACAAAGACNUGACGCUCAGGUGCGAAAGCGUGGGGAGCAAACAGGAUUAGAUACCCUGGUAGUCCACGCCGUAAACGAUGUCGAUUUGGAGGUUGUGCCCUUGAGGCGUGGCUUCCGGAGCUAACGCGUUUAAAUCGACCGCCUGGGGAGUACGGCCGCAAGGUUAAAACUCAAAUGAAUUGACGGGGGCCCGCACAAGCGGUGGAGCAUGUGGUUUAAUUCGAUGCAACGCGAAGAACCUUACCUGGUCUUGACAUCCACAGAACUUACCAGAGAUGCUUUGGUGCCUUCGGGAACUGUGAGACAGGUGCUGCAUGGCUGUCGUCAGCUCGUGUUGUGAAAUGUUGGGUUAAGUCCCGCAACGAGCGCAACCCUUAUCCUUUGUUGCCAGCGGUUAGGCCGGGAACUCAAAGGAGACUGCCAGUGAUAAACUGGAGGAAGGUGGGGAUGACGUCAAGUCAUCAUGGCCCUUACGACCAGGGCUACACACGUGCUACAAUGGCAUAUACAAAGAGAAGCGACCUCGCGAGAGCAAGCGGACCUCAUAAAGUAUGUCGUAGUCCGGAUUGGAGUCUGCAACUCGACUCCAUGAAGUCGGAAUCGCUAGUAAUCGUAGAUCAGAAUGCUACGGUGAAUACGUUCCCGGGCCUUGUACACACCGCCCGUCACACCAUGGGAGUGGGUUGCAAAAGAAGUAGGUAGCUUAACCUUCGGGAGGGCGCUUACCAC
rnacentral:rRNA from 1 species